rnacentral:rRNA from 1 species
GACGAACGCUGGCGGCGUGCCUAAUACAUGCAAGUAGAACGCACAGUUUAUACCGUAGCUUGCUACACCAUAGACUGUGAGUUGCGAACGGGUGAGUAACGCGUAGGUAACCUGCCUGGUAGCGGGGGAUAACUAUUGGAAACGAUAGCUAAUACCGCAUAAUAUUGAUUAUUGCAUGAUAAUUGAUUGAAAGAUGCUAUUGCAUCACUACCAGAUGGACCUGCGUUGUAUUAGCUAGUAGGUGAGGUAACGGCUCACCUAGGCGACGAUACAUAGCCGACCGGGGAGGGGGAUCGGCCACCCUGGGACUGGGACCCGGCCCAGACUCCUACGGGAGGGAGCAGUAAGGAAUCCUCGGCAAUGGACGAAAGGCUGACCGAGCAACGCCGCGGGAGUGAAGAAGGUUUUCGGAUCGUAAAGAUCUGUUGUAAGAGAAGAACGGGUGUGAGAGUGGAAAGUUCACACUGUGACGGUAUCUUACCAGAAAGGGACGGCUAACUACGUG